rnacentral:rRNA from 1 species
CCUACGGGAGGCAGCAGUGGGGAAUAUUGCACAAUGGGGGAAACCCUGAUGCAGCGACGCCGCGUGAGUGAAGAAGUAAUUCGUUACGUAAAGCUCUAUCAGCAGGGAAGAAAUACUGACCUUACGGUCAGCAGACGGUACCUGAGUAAGAAGCCCCGGCUAACUACGUGCCAGCAGCCGCGGUAAUACGUAGGGGGCAAGCGUUAUCCGGAUUUACUGGGUGUAAAGGGAGCGUAGACGGUGAUGCAAGCCAGAUGUGAAAGCCCGCGGCUCAACUGCGGUAGUGCAUUUGGAACUGUAUGGCUGGAGUGCAGGAGAGGCAGGCGGAAUUCCUAGUGUAGCGGUGAAAUGCGUAGAUAUUAGGAGGAACACCAGUGGCGAAGGCGGCCUGCUGGACUGUAACUGACGUUGAGGCUCGAAAGCGUGGGGAGCAAACAGGAUUAGAUACCCGGGUAGUC